rnacentral:rRNA from 1 species
CUACGUGCCAGCAGCCGCGGUAAUACGGAGGGUGCGAGCGUUAAUCGGAAUAACUGGGCGUAAAGGGCACGCAGGCGGUUAUUUAAGUGAGGUGUGAAAGCCCCGGGCUUAACCUGGGAAUUGCAUUUCAUACUGGGUCGCUAGAGUACUUUAGGGAGGGGUAGAAUUCCACGUGUAGCGGUGAAAUGCGUAGAGAUGUGGAGGAAUACCGAAGGCGAAGGCAGCCCCUUGGGAAUGUACUGACGCUCAUGUGCGAAAGCGUGGGGAGCAAACAGGAUUAGAUACCCUGGUAGUCCACGCUGUAAACGAUGUCGAUUUGGGGGUUGAGCUUUGAGUUUGGCGCCCGUAGCUAACGUGAUAAAUCGACCGCCUGGGGAGUACGGCCGCAAGGUUAAAACUCAAAUGAAUUGACGGGGGCCCGCACAAGCGGUGGAGCAUGUGGUUUAAUUCGAUGCAACGCGAAGAACCUUACCUACUCUUGACAUCCAGAGAACAUUC